rnacentral:lncRNA from 13 species
AUGGAAAGACAGGUUCUCACUCAAUCACCCAGGCUAGAGAGCAGUGGCAUGAUCAUAGCUCACUGCAGCCUUGACCUUCUGGGCUCAAGCGAUUCUCCAACUUCAGACUCCCAAGUAGCUUACACCACAGGUAUUUUUCUUUUUCCAAAUUUACUUUGUGUACCAAGAUUUCAACUAUUUCACUGAGAAAGAACAUUACAUUUAUUUUGGGAUCACUGAGUCCAUUGUAGACUAAAGCCACUUAGCAACACUGCAACAAUGCUGUCUUAAUUCAUUAUUAAAAGUCUCCCUCCUCAAAACAUAAUUAGUACACUGCUGUCAGUAAUUCCUCCAAAUAAGAAAUCAGAGAAGAAUCAGGAAUGACCAAUAGGAAACUUGGAUUUCCUGUUGGAUUUAUAAGGACACGUUUUAAAAGAUGGCUUUCACUUUGGUGACAGUAAAUAACUGAAAGUCCUAACAGCCAUCCCUGAGGUUGGUUAACCAAGGGCACAGACUGUCACUCAGACUCUCAGAGUGAAGAGGGACAGCUGCAGAAAUUACCCUUUGAAAAUGGACAUGUAUAAGUGAUGGCCCUUUUCUGUUGUCUCUGAAAAUUUACAUUGCAAUUCGUCAAUACAGUGUCAAAGACAAAUUUUAGACUCCCUGAAAAUUUGAGCUUUUGAUAGACAGGUUUAACACUAAAAAGUGAGAGCUUCAGUUCAGAAUUAGAAACAUAACUUAGCAAUUUAUAAAGUAAAGUUUAAUUUUGAUGCUAAAAAAAUCACAUCACAAAUAUCUGUUUAAUUAUUGAUUCUUCAUAGAAGUAUUAAGGUCAUAAGAAGAAGAAUGGUAACUUUGGAAGAUAUCAGAAUGAGGCCCAGUGUAACUUUCCCUAAAGUAAAAUGAGUGGAAGGUGAUCAUAUAUUUUUGUUAAACAAUUAAGCAAGUGAUAAUAUUGAUCCUGAUAAACUGGAUUUUUAAACAAAGGUGAUAAUCUUAGGAACCAGUUCUAUUUUAUGGAAGAUCUAUUGAGAGCUUAGUGGAUGUCUUUUAGAAAAUGUUAAAUCCCUCUAGAAAACUCUGUCAAGCCAAUAGGAAAACUCUGCACUCUCUGCUAGCAGUAAAGCAUAUUUUAUGGACUUGAAAUGUUAAAGGUGAAUGGACAAGUUUACUGCCGAUUUAGUGUCCUGUCUCUGCCGAGUUCUAAAGCUUCAUGUAGUAAAGGAAGGAAGGGCCUUUUCAUAGGAACUGCCCCCUUGGAGCCGUGGAUGAGAGCUGAAUAAGGGCAAGGGACUGAGCAGGAGUGGCCAUUUAACACAGGUGGCAGGUGUUACGAAGACAGCUAUGUUAACAGCGCAGAAACGCCCUCCAGAGCCUUUUCACAAAACCACUAUCAUAAAACAAACACCACCACAACAAAAACCAGCCAGGAAAGUGAAAAAAUGGAGAAACCCCAGAUGGUAGGACCCCAAUCACAUCUGACAGUUGGGCACAAUGCCAGCCCUUCAUGAGGACCCUCCCAGCCUCCAGGGCUCCUAGGGGUCCACAAUCCUACAAGAGUAUGACAUUCUAGAGUUGGCCUUUUUCUGCUGUCUGUGUCAUUAUGUUGACCCAUGUUUGAAGAUGAAAUAAUUAAUACAAUCUUCAACAAAUCCUUAUUGGACACCUAUUCAGUGGCAUCCUGUGGUUCUUAAAAAAAUAUCCAAAUAUGGAUUAAUGUAACUACAUUUUCCCACUGACACAGUGGUAGCUUGUAGGCCUCUAAUCCAAUGAGUUAAUUACAUUCCAAGUAGUUAAAACUCUUCACUUUGAAUAUGAAAUAAUUAAUGCAGAUCUUAACAAAUACUGAGUGAGCACCUAUUGGGUGGCAGAUUUUCUUGCCUCACACCCCAGAAAGACUUUUAGUUAUUGAGCAAAAAUGACAAUAAAUGAAUAAGAAGAAUGUAGUCA